UUACUACUGUGACAAUAUUUCUUGUAUUCGAUCUCCUAAGCCGAAUUUUCAUGUAACUAUGUAGAGAAUUAUUGAAUUGUAUUUCAAUGAGAGGUUUUUGAAGUUACCUAAAGUUUUGUCACUAGUAUACAAACUUUGGCGGUUAAAUACUUAAUAUGACGCGAGUAACGAGUGAAUUCUGUUCUGGGAGUAAUUAAUUGAGAUUUUUAUAGUAAAGCUCUUUAAAUUGUUCUUUAGGCACCUCUUAAAUAACGUUCUGUCUUUGCAGGGUGUCUUGUAUAUUCAUUGUUCAAUGUAUUUUUCAAUUUCAUUCAGAAUUACGUGAUUUAUCUGUACAUUUCUGUUUUGAUACUCAUAGACAUUAAAAUAUGGGUAUAACCGGUUUAAUACCUUUCUUAGAGAAAUCAUCUAAACGGUGCAAUAUUAGUCAAUUUGUUGGAAGUACAGUAGCUAUUGAUUCUUACUGUUGGCUACACAGAGGUGCAUUUUCAUGUGCUGAAAAACUAGCGUUGGGACAAGAGACUGAUGCCUAUGUCAAAUACUGUAUGAAAUUUAUAGACAUGUUACUCGCAAAUAGAAUAAAACCAAUACUUGUGUUUGAUGGACGUCAUUUACCUGCUAAGGCUGAAACCGAAGCAAAGCGAAGAGAAUCAAGAGAUGCUAAUCGUCGCCGAGCAGCUGAGCUGAUGCGCAUGGGACAAACAGCUGAGGGCAGAAAUUUAUUAAGGAGAUCAAUGGACAUAACGCACGAAAUGGCACUUAAUUUAAUUAUCAGCUGUCAAAGACGGAAUAUUGAUUGUAUAGUUGCACCAUACGAAGCUGAUGCUCAGUUGGCUUAUUUAAAUUUAUCUGGUAUUGCAGAUGUUGUUAUAACAGAGGAUAGUGAUCUCACAUUGUUUGGAUGUAAAAAAAUAUUUUUUAAAAUGGAUGUAUAUGGUAAUGGACUUCUUGUACAGCAAGAUCGCCUUCAUUUAUCAAUGGGUAUACGCAUAGAACAUUUUGACAUGGACAAAUUCCGUUACAUGGGUAUUCUAUCGGGUUGUGAUUAUCUAGCAUCAUUGCCUGGAAUUGGUCUGAACAAAGCUUGUAGAUUUAUCAUUAAAAAUACGGACAGUGACAUACACAGAGCACUCUGUAGACUUGGCUCGUAUCUCAAUAUGAAAACUCUGGUUGUAUCAAAAGAAUAUCGUGACGCUUUUAUGCGAGCACUAAUCACAUUCAAGCACCAGUUAGUAUUUUGUCCUUUGCAAAGGAAGCAGGUGCGGUUGAAUCCACCAACUAACGAUAUUACUCAAGAGCAGCUAUAUUAUGCGGGCAAAGAGGUUGAGGCUGAUUUAGCAUGGCAAUUGGCUCUUGGUAAUUGUGAUCCUUUCACGUUCAAGAAACUUCACGACUUUGAUCCUGACAGUUUACAAACUGAAAGAAUUACACGAGGAAAAUCAAAUUCUUGGAGGACGAACAAUAUAAGUAAACACGUGAGCAUUUGGUCGAAGGAAUUUAUCGUCAAGGAGAAACAAUCAGCGAAGGAGGAAGAGACAAUCUCAUGGCCAACUACAGCUGGAAAAGUUGUGGUUCUAAAGACAACUGUAAAAAGGAAACACACUGCCAUAAAACAUGAGAGUCACGAGGAUAAGGAAAUGGAGACAGCGGAAUUACUUGAGAUGUAUGGCACUCCUGAGUCUAAAAAUGAUUCAGAGGAAACAGAGAGCGAAAAUAAAACAAUGCUAAAUCUAGAUAGAUCUUUUAAUGGGAGUGAUCAAACUUCACCAGUAUUAGUAAGAAGUUCGAAUCCUUUUGCUAAGGAAAAAACCAAUCAAAUCUCACCAAGCACUUUAAACGUUAAACGGAGGCCAUUCCGCAGGCGUAAUCUUGCGCGUUUUAAACCAACGGUCAUUGACUCCGAUGUUGUCACAGAGAGUAAAUUUUUUCGUGGCUCUAUAUCGGUAGAAAAAUUAUCCUGUGAUCCAGCAACCACUACUUCUAAUGUAAUUACAAAUGAAUACUGCAAAGAACAAAUUCACCAAGUCUCCAAGGAAAAUAAUGAAUCAGAAUCUGGACUUUUAUCAAAUAUGGAUAAUGUGUUCGAUAAGGUAGUUGUUACACAUGCAUCUACUGUCAUGGAUUUUAAUCAUCAAUUGCGACUUCCUAUUAGUAAAGAUCAAAGCAUGGAAGUAACAGAGACAGAAACAACAGAGGAACUGAACUCCAUUGUAAAUGUUGUAUCGAAAGUCCCAUUAAAAGAAGUCUGUGACGGUGAAGUCGCUAUGAGAAGUUUGAGAAAUAAUAGUGAUGGUAAUUUGACUGGAGAGAAGGAUGAUGAUUCCAGAAGCUCGAGUUCUAAAUCUGAAUUAGAUUGUUCGGUGGAUUCUACCGAUAUUACUGAUGCGAGGUCCAAUUUCUCCCGGUGGGCAAAUCCAAAAGCAAAUAUCGAAAUCAUAAAUCGGAUCGAAUCGAGUACCUCGUGGAAUUCAUUGAUGGGUUCACGAAGCAUCAGCACAAGAAGUCAAAAAACGAUUUUAGAACACCGUGGGAAGAGGUAGAGGAAUAAAGCGAACACAGUCUGGAAAGAAAAAAAUAACAGAUCAGGAUCAGCAAACUAAUUUAAAAAUGUUCGGAUUUCAGAAAAAAACCAUUCUAAAGCACUAACAGUGGUAUUCAGAAGAGUGAGUUUAAAUCAUAACAUAUACUAAUUGAUGGCAGGACCACCUCUCCAUUGAGAAGAACAAUUCC